rnacentral:RNase_P_RNA from 1 species
CGAGAGGGCUGGGCGGUCGCCGGUCGGAGGGUUUUAGGCCCUCGGACGGGAGGAAAGUCCGGGCUCCGCAGGACAGGGCGGUGGGUAACGCCCACCGGUCGCAAGACCAGGGAAAGUGCCACAGAAAAUAAACCGCUCGGAAGCGGUCAGCAAUCAGCAGUCAGCGAUCGGCCACAAGGUCGGAACAGGAGGCUGUCCAAUGCCCUCUGGCUGACUGCUGAAAGCUGACCGCUUCCCAGUAAGGGUGAAACGGUGCGGUAAGAGCGCACCAGCAGGCGGGGCGACUCGCCUGGCUCGGUAAACCCCGCCCGGAGCAAGGCCAAACAGGGAGCAUGAACCGGUCCGGUUCGUUACGACUUCCGGGUAGGCUGCUAGAGGCGGCAGGCAACUGUCGCCGUAGAGGAAUGAUCGCCGCGCGGCACUCGUGCCGCGGACAGAACCCGGCUUACAGGCCCUCUCGGCGG